AGUUCGAACAGUUCAAAGCAUUCCGCAUCAUCAGAGUCGUCCUUGAAAAUAAGUGCAGAAAUUAAUAGAACACCAAAUUGAAAAACAUGUUUGAAUAUUAUGAAAUAUAAAUGUAAAUAAAUGAUUGUUGCAUAUAAAAUACAUUGACACAGGUUAAAUAAAUCCUACAUACCCAAUUGAACUUGAAAUCCCUACUCUGUGUAAGACAUCGAAUUGGUAGGAGCCGGUUAUUGAAGAGAUGAGAUGAGAAAAGUCUGACGACAUUGGAGGAACGAAUCAUGAUUCUAGAGGGAGUGAGAAAGCUUCUGCUAGCUUAUGAAUUCCGAAAUCCUGAACUUCACCAAAUAAAUUUCUGAAAAACAAAGACACGGUUUUU
rnacentral:lncRNA from 1 species